rnacentral:rRNA from 1 species
GGGGGAGGAAGGUGAGGAUGACGUCAAAUCCGCAUGGCCCUCUGAUGCCCUGGGCGACACUCAUGCUACAAUGGCCGGUACAAUGGGUCGCUAAGGCGCAAGCCGGAGCCAAUCCCAUCAAAGCCGGUCUCAGUUCGGAUUGAGGGCUGCAACCCGCCCUCAUGAAGCCGGAAUCGCUAGUAAUCGCGCAUCAGCCAUGGCGCGGUGAAUACGUUCUCGAGUCCUGUACUCACCGCCCGUCACACCAAGGGAGCCGGGAGU